rnacentral:rRNA from 1 species
GGUGUAGCGGUGAAAUGCGUAGAGAUCUGAAGGAAUACCAGUGGCGAAGGCGGCCCCCUGGACAAAGACUGACGCUCAGAUGCGAAAGCGUGGGUAGCAAACAGGAUUAGAUACCCUGGUAGUCCACGCCGUAAACGCUGUCUACUUGGAGGUUGAGGUUUAGACUUUGGCUUUCGGCGCUAACGCAUUAAGUAGACCGCCUGGGGAGUACGGCCGCAAGGUUAAAACUCAAAUGAAUUGACGGGGGCCCGCACAAGCGGUGGAGCAUGUGGUUUAAUUCGAUGCAACGCGAAGAACCUUACCUACUCUUGACAUCCAGCGAAGCCUUUAGAGAUAGAGGAGUGCCUUCGGGAGCGCUGAGACAGGUGCUGCAUGGCUGUCGUCAGCUCGUGUUGUGAAAUGUUGGGUUAAGUCCCGCAACGAGCGCAACCCUUAUCCUUGUUUGCCAGCACAUAAUGGUGGGAACUCCAGGGAGACUGCCGGUGAUAAACCGGAGGAAGGUGGGGACGACGUCAAGUCAUCAUGGCCCUUACGAGUAGGGCUACACACGUGCUACAAUGGCAGAUACAGAGGGCAGCGAAGCUGCGAAGUGGAGCGAAUCCCUUAAAGUCUGUCGUAGUCCGGAUUGGAGUCUGCAACUCGACUCCAUGAAGUCGGAAUCGCUAGUAAUCGUGGAUCAGAAUGCCACGGUGAAUACGUUCCCGGGCCUUGUACACACCGCCCGU